UGUGAUUCUGUGGGUUCAACUGGGGUCAAUGGGGCCAAUGGGGACAUUGGGGGACAUUGGGGUCAAUGAGGCCAAUGGGUUCAAUUGGGGUCAAUGGGGUCAAUGGGGUCAAUGGGGUCAAUGGGGACAUUGGGGUCAAUGAGGCCAAUGGGUUCAACUGGGGUCAAUGGGGUCAAUGGGGACAUUGGGGUCAGUGAGGCCAAUGGGUUCAACUGGGGUCAAUGGGGUCAAUGGGGACAUUGGGGACAAUGAGGUCAAUGGGUUCAAUUGGGGUCAAUGGGGUCAAUGGGGACAUUGGGGGACAUUGGGUCCAAUGGUGUCAAUGGGGUGACACUGGGGUCAGUGGGGACAUUGGGGACAAUUUUGCCAAAAACGUGACCAAAAAAAACCAAAAACCCCCCCCAAAAAAACCCCAAACACCCCGCAUUUUAUUUCAUUUUAAUUUUUUUUGCGCAACGACCCGAAAUGCUGCGGAUUGACCCCAAUUUGAACCCAAAUAAUAACGAACCUCAAUAAUUCCGCCCGGAAGUCCGCGAUUUUUUUNNNNGGAGGCGUGUCGUCCCCCUCGUGACGUCACUUCUACGCGCCGCUCUGCAGGGGGGAACGAGGAGAAUGGGGCUGGCUGUGACGUCAUUUCCGCGCGCCAGCUCAUUCACGGGCGCGGCAUUGUGACGUCACUUCCACGCGCCUGCCGCAUCGUGUGGGGGGGAAAAACGGAAAGGGCGUGGCUUCGAGCCGGAAGUUGGGGGCGUGGCUUGAGGCGGCGCAUGCGCGGAGCGAGCGUGGAGGCGGCGGAGCGCGGGAGGCGGUGAGGGGCGGCGGAGCCUAUAGGGACCCUAUGGGAAUCCUAUGGAGGGAACCCUAUGGGCUUCAGUAGGGAUCCCCUAUAGGGUUCUGUAGGGCCCCCUAUAGGGUGCUGUAGGGGUUCCCUAUGGGGUUCUGUAGGGUCCCGUAUUGGGUUCUCUAGGGAUCCCCUAUAGGAUUCUAUAGGGUUUCCUAUGGGGUUCUAUAGGGGCAUCAUAUGGGGUUCUGUAGGGAUCCCCUAUAGGGCUAUGUAGGAUCCCCUAUAGGGUGCUGUAGGGGUUCCCUAUGGGGUUCUGUAGGGUUUCCCCAUGGGGUUCUGUAGGGUCCCCUAUUGGGUUCUCUAAGGAUCCCCUAUAGGGUUCUAUAGGGUUUGCUAUGGGGUUCUAUAGGGGCACCAUAUGGUCUUCUGUAGGGAUCCCCUAUAGGGUUCUGUAGGGUCCCCUAUAGGGUGCUGUAGGGGUUCCCUAUGGGGUUCUGUAGGGUCCCGUAUUGGGUUCUGUAAGGAUCCCCUAUAGGGUUCUAUAGGGUUCCCUAUGGGGUUCUGUAGGGGUUCCCUAUGGGGUUCUGUAGGGAUCCCCUAUAAGGUUCUGUGGGGUCCCCUAUGGGAUUCUAUAGGGUUUCCUAUGGGGUUCUGUAGGGUCGUCUAUGGGGUUCUAUUGGGGCCCCCUAUAGGGU
ensembl:lncRNA